AACGAUGUCGUUUAUGAGCUUAU
rnacentral:snRNA from 1 species